rnacentral:rRNA from 1 species
UAACACAUGCAAGUCGAGCGAGGCCCCUUCUUCGGGAGGGUGUUCUAGCGGCGAACGGGUGAGUAACACGUGGGCAACCUGCCCUCAGCUCUGGGAUAACUCCAAGAAAUUGGGGCUAAUACCGGAUAUGACUGCUGACCGCAUGGUCUGGUGGUGGAAAGAUUUAUCGGCUGGGGAUGGGCCCGCGGCCUAUCAGCUUGUUGGUGGGGUAGUGGCCUACCAAGGCGACGACGGGUAGCCGGCCUGAGAGGGUGACCGGCCACACUGGGACUGAGACACGGCCCAGACUCCUACGGGAGGCAGCAGUGGGGAAUAUUGCGCAAUGGGCGGAAGCCUGACGCAGCGACGCCGCGUGGGGGAUGACGGCCUUCGGGUUGUAAACCUCUUUCAGCAGGGACGAAGCGGAAGUGACGGUACCUGCAGAAGAAGCACCGGCCAACUACGUGCCAGCAGCCGCGGUAAUACGUAGGGUGCAAGCGUUGUCCGGAAUUAUUGGGCGUAAAGAGCUCGUAGGCGGUUUGUUGCGUCGGCUGUGAAAUCCCGAGGCUCAACCUCGGGUCUGCAGUCGAUACGAGCAAACUAGAGUGUUGCAGGGGAGACUGGAAUUCCUGGUGUAGCGGUGAAAUGCGCAGAUAUCAGGAGGAACACCGGUGGCGAAGGCGGGUCUCUGGGCAACAACUGACGCUGAGGAGCGAAAGC